UGAAACCAUGUUCAAUCAAAGGGCCUAACUGAAAGGGCCUAACUGGUUUGAAGAUUCAUAGAAGGGCCUAUCUGCCGAUGAUGUUUGAAUUCAACAAUUUUUACGAGUUGUUGUGUUAUUUGAGAUUAGAAACAUAAUGGGCCACGCAACAGACUUUGAUGGGUGUCGAACAAAGGUAUGAAACUAGUAAAAAUGCGAAUGGGUUUAAAAUAGGAAUUAUAAAUAUGGUACGGAAUCUUCACUUGAGAAUUUCUCAAUGUUUACGUUUUGCAGAUAGGCCCUUUUCAAAUGUUACGCUAGAAUUGACAAUAAUGGAUCUCGCGGAGAAUAAGUACCGUGCGAAAAACUGAUUGUUUUGCUGCUUUCCUGCUGCUGUAGCUUUUUGCCAUGUUAUCGUCGGAUGUUGUUCCAGGAGCAAGAGGGAAUCAAUCCUCCUCCAAAUUGCUUGCUGGAAUGCUCUUAUUUGGUGGCCGUUUGUCCCCGGAUACGUCUUGGUAUUGCAUCUGUUAACCAGAGACGGAGACAGAGGUGCAAGUUGCCGAAAAAAGUGCUCCUUCAGGGUCCUGGCCUUCCAAACCAUCAUGGAAUUGAAAUGCAUCGUCGCCAAAAGAUCCACAUUCCAAAUCGUUUCCUGCGAUACUCCAUAAGCCAGCUUACGACCUGAACUUGAACUGCUGUGAUCGGAAGAGACGGGGGCUACUUGGAGAACCAACGAUCAGGAUGAGAAGACGUAUGAGUCCGUCCACAGAGUGUAUUAUAUGACAACGAUCAAUGGAUUCAGGAAGUCUCUAAAUUGCAGACACCAUCAACAGCGAGCAACGAACAUUCAUCCGUUCUGAUUUUGUGCUAAAUAGGAACCCAUGGAGAAACUCAUUUUUGCAAUUUCAAAAAUAAUAUGUUUAUUCUGUUAUUAUGUAUUGAACGCUCGUUAGUAAUAAAGAUUAAUUAAUGUUG